GGGGGUGUUCCGGAUUCGACCCUGUGUCCUAGCUGGCGGUUGCAUGUCGGAGAUGAUGGAGGCUCCGUAUCAAUCCAUCUCAAAAAUUAAUUGGCGAAGAACAAUUCGCUAUGGCUGCCUAAGUUGCACCACGUUUCCACCCAGACGCCUGCUAUGGACUGGAAGCGACGACUAGCAGGUAUAGUGGGUAAAUUGGUUUUCGAUUGCCCACCGUAUUUUAGAAAACCUGGAAGUGGCAUAGCGCGCUUGGUCGCGAUGCCAUGACGACAAUAAACACGAAGCUAAGCAUGUAGAUGCCGCUUGUGAAAGCACAGGGGACGCGGGUUCGACUCCCGCCACCUCCACCA
rnacentral:tmRNA from 1 species